CAACAACACAGACUCGCUCUCCAAAGCGUGUGACCUCUAGCGGUAAUAAUAACAAACAGAGCAGUGCGUUUGAUUGUUAGUUGGACUGCAAUGAUACACGACUUACAGUGAGGAUCCAUGAUGUCUGAUUUAGAUGGCAAACUGAUUCAUUGUGCAUCAAUCCUUUGAAUGUGGCAUCAGUUUAUAGCUGCAUUAGGAAAUAAGAAUAUUUAGGAAAUAAAAAAAAAAAAAAAAGAAAAGAAAA